UCUUUAGGGAAGCUUCGUAUACCCUAUUCAGAACCACCACUCAUUUUUAGUGAUAAUACUGGAGCAACUCAAUCGAAGAUCGGCAUCACCGAUGGUGAGACGAUCUUGCAAGGGCAUGUUAAGGAAUCUCCUGCAAAUAAUCGUACACCUACAACGACCUCUAAGACAGCAAGAUCACAGGAUAGUUACAACUGAAGUUUCGACAUUUACAUGAAGAUCACGAGCAGUCAAUUCAAGGGAUCUCAACACUAAUACCAUGAUUACACAGCAAGCAAUUCCAGCAAGAUUACAGGCAAUUCCAACAAUUAAUUACUUUGGUUGCAGUUAUAUCCAGGAAAAGAUAUUGUCCCGGCAGGCAGGUUAUAGCACAUGAUAAGCUUAUUAUCCUCCAAAUUAACUACAUGAUAUAUAUCAUAGCUGUAAUGCUAAGUAAAUCAUAGCAUCAUGUCAUGAAUAACACUUUGUAAAUACACAUUGUAUUGUAUGAUCAGUAUGGUGAUUGAAAAUUCUGAAAAACAAACUUAUAAAGAAACUUAA